rnacentral:rRNA from 1 species
AACGAACGCUGGCGGCAUGCCUAACACAUGCAAGUCGAACGAGACCUUCGGGUCUAGUGGCGCACGGGUGCGUAACGCGUGGGAACCUGCCCUUAGGUUCGGAAUAACUCCCCGAAAGGGGUGCUAUACCGGAUAAUGUCUUCGGACCAAAGAUUUAUCGCCUUUGGAUGGGCCCGCGUUGGAUUAGCUAGUUGGUAGGGUAAAAGCCUACCAAGGCGACGAUCCAUAGCUGGUCUGAGAGGAUGAUCAGCCACACUGGGACUGAGACACGGCCCAGACUCCUACGGGAGGCAGCAGUGGGGAAUAUUGGACAAUGGGCGAAAGCCUGAUCCAGCAAUGCCGCGUGAGUGAUGAAGGCCUUAGGGUUGUAAAGCUCUUUUACCCGGGAUGAUAAUGACAGUACCGGGAGAAUAAGCUCCGGCUAACUCCGUG